ensembl:lncRNA
CACUCUCUGUUUCUCCUGCUGCCCAGGUUACAAGUUUGGAAAUGCCAAUCCCAACCUAUACGUGGAGGAUGGACACUGGGGCCAUUUCUGCGCCCCGUAUGCUGCCUGGAAUACACUGUUAGUGGGCAGCUGGCUCCGCCCCACUGAGAGGGGGAACUUCAUCCUAACCGUCCUGGAGGGCAUGAUCCAGCCGAGGGUCUCUGACACCAAGGUGGUUGCCAGCGCGUUGGAUGCAGUCCUGAGAGAGGAGGGCUCUCAGCUCUCAAACGUGCCAGAGAUGGUGCAGAGCAUCUGUGACAACCUCACAUCAGACAGCAACGCGUUGCUUCGGGACAUCAUGAUCCAGACCCUUUUGAAGAUCACGCGCUUGGACCCGCAGCGUGUGGUCAGGACCAUGCUGCGUGAUAUCUCGUGGUGCAACACGUCUCUCACAGUCAUGUGGCAGGCGAUUGUCUCCGAAUCCAGCCUUGCACAGGUCGUGGUGAAGAACCUGUUGCUGGAACAGCCAGAGCCAAGCCACAGUGACCUUCACCAGGGCUACAGCUGCAACCAUAACCUGGCUAUAAGCCACGCCAUGCACACGAUCCUGCAUCUGCCGUCCAGUGAAGAGUGUGUACGGUUGUUUAUGCGCAAGCUGUACAGGACAGUGCUCCUCAAGAUCUUCUUCAUCCUGCAGUGCUCACAGCGUGGCUGCUUCAACUUGAGAGACGGUGAUACGGAGGAGAACAUGUUGCCUGUGAAAGAAAUCAGGAAUGCGGUGGAGUGCAUGAGAGCAAUUUUCCGACACCGGAUGGGUGACAGUUUGGUGGAGGACAUCGAGAGGCAGGGUGGCUGGGACAUGCUUAUGAGCCUUGAGACCUACCACACAGGCGUGGCUGUGCUGACCAGGGCACUGCGAAACACUGGGCCGCUCUGCUGUGCUGCGGUGUUUGAAGAAACAGUCGUAGCUCUCAUCGUGAGACAGGAGCACGAGAUCGGGACCAUGGCUGUGUUCGUUGAGCUGCUGGACUGCGUGAAGGUCGCCACCAUCAUGGAGCGCAUUGGCAGCACGAGCAUCCUGAGCUUCCUCCCAUCGUAUCUGCAGAGUCAGAACUCGGUGCUGCGUGACUUGGCUACCACCAGCCUGGUCAAGCUGUCUGCAAUACCC